AGAAUGACUCUCGGCAACGGAUAUCUAGGCUCUUGCAUCGAUGAAGAACGUAGCGAAAUGCGAUACUUGGUGUGAAUUGCAGAAUCCCGUGAACCAUCGAGUCUUUGAACGCAAGUUGCGCCCGAUGCCAUUAAGGUUGAGGGCACGUCUGCCUGGGCGUCACA
rnacentral:rRNA from 1 species